rnacentral:rRNA from 2 species
AACACCGGGAAACCGGUGCUAAUACCGCAUGAGACCACGACUCUGAGUGGAGUUGAGGUAAAAGAUUUAUCGCACAAAGAUGAGCUCGCGUCCCAUUAGAUAGUUGGCGGGGUAACGGCCCACCAAGUCGACGAUGGGUAGCCGACCUGAGAGGGUGAUCGGCCACACUGGAACUGAGACACGGUCCAGACUCCUACGGGAGGCAGCAGUGGGGAAUAUUGGGCAAUGGGCGCAAGCCUGACCCAGCAACGCCGCGUGAGGGAAGAAGGUCUUCGGAUUGUAAACCUCUGUCCUUGGGGACGAAAAAAAUGACGGUACCCAAGGAGGAAGCUCCGGCUAACUACGUGCCAGCAGCCGCGGUAAUACGUAGGGAGCGAGCGUUGUCCGGAAUUACUGGGCGUAAAGGGUGCGUAGGCGGCGAUGCAAGUCAGAUGUGAAAUCCCCGGGCUUAACUCGGGGGGUGCAUUUGAAACUGCAUGGCUUGAGUGCAGGAGAGGAAAGCGGAAUUCCUAGUGUAGCGGUGAAAUGCGUAGAUAUUAGGAAGAACACCAGUCGCGAAGGCGGCUUUCUGGACUGUAACUGACGCUGAGGCACGAAAGCGUGGGGGAGCAAACAGGGAUUAGAUACUCUGGUAGUCCACGCUGUAAACGAUG